UAAGGAAUAUUGGUCAAUGGACGCAAGUCUGAACCAGCCAUGCCGCGUGAAGGAUGAAAGUCCUCUGGAUUGUAAACUUCUUUUAUCUGGGACGAAAACGGGAUUUUUAUCUCAAUUGACGGUACCAGAGGAAUAAGCACCGGCUAACUCCGUGCCAGCAGCCGCGGUAAUACGGAGGGUGCGAGCGUUAUCCGGAUUUACUGGGUUUAAAGGGUGCGUAGGUGGGCUUAUAAGUCAGUGGUGAAAUCUCCGAGCUUAACUUGGAAACUGCCGUUGAUACUAUAGGUCUUGAAUUAUCUGGAGGUAAGCGGAAUAUGUCAUGUAGCGGUGAAAUGCUUAGAUAUGACAUAGAACACCAAUUGCGAAGGCAGCUUACUACAUAUAAAUUGACGCUGAGGCACGAAAGCGUGGGGAUCAAACA
rnacentral:rRNA from 1 species